UGAGGAAUAUUGGGCAAUGCCCGCAAGGGUGACCCAGCAACGCCGCGUGGAGGAUGAAUGUCGUAAGAUUGUAAACUCCUGUUAGAGGGGAAGAAUAGUACCGGUUGGACCGGUAUAUGACUGUACCCUCAGAGAAAGCCCCGGCUAACUACGUGCCAGCAGCCGCGGUAAUACGUAGGGGGCAAGCGUUGUCCGGAUUUACUGGGUGUAAAGGGCGCGCAGGCGGGAUAAAAAGUCAGUGGUGAAAUCCUACAGCUUAACUGUAGAA
rnacentral:rRNA from 1 species